AUGCUCCCUUGAGUCGUCUCGA
rnacentral:miRNA from 1 species